rnacentral:rRNA from 1 species
UACGGAGGGGGCUAGCGUUGUUCGGAUUUACUGGGCGUAAAGCGCGCGUAGGCGGCUUGGAAAGUUGGGAGUGAAAGCCCGGGGCUCAACCCCGGAACUGCUCUCAAAACUUCCAAGCUAGAGAUCUGGAGAGGGGGGUGGAAUUCCAAGUGUAGAGGUGAAAUUCGUAGAUAUUUGGAAGAACACCAGUGGCGAAGGCGACUCUCUGGCCAGAUACUGACGCUGAGGUGCGAAAGCGUGGGGAGCAAACAGG